rnacentral:lncRNA from 1 species
AUGUCAGAUGAACUUUGCCAGCUGGUCGCUAAUUCCCUGACUAGCUUUGUCGGCCCCGUAGGGCACUGGAGAGAAAACAAAGAAGCAUCUGGGAGAAUUAGCUGUCUCUCAUAUAGCCGUAGCAGCAGCCUAGUGCAGCAGACCCUCAUCUCUCAUGUGGUUUGGUAUAAUCUAAGGCCUGCCAGGACAGCUAAUGAGAGCACACAACCCAUAAUUUAAACUUUGCCAAGAAUUUCGAACAUCUGGGGAAGUUAGUGAUGAACAUGUCAGCCAAAGUCAACUGAUGCCAUCUGUAAAUGCAAAACUAAAAAUAUGCCAGUGUGAGUGGAGAAGAAAAUCAAGGCACAUCCAUUGUUGGCAACAGAUUUUUCAUUGUGAAAAUCCACCCUCUGAGUGCCAGGACAUUACAUAUAUAAUAACAGAUGAACAACAGAGAUCAUCUUAAUUACUGGGCUAGCCUAACCUUGGUGAUGUUCAAAAAUUGCUUGGGCGCCUGGAGAUUGAGUGGCCAUUAACUGAGAAACAA